GGAGACAGCAGGUAUAACAGGCUGUGUGUUCUGGGCUGUGUGUGUACCUGGUAGGGUGGAGGGGAGGAGACAGCAGGUAUAACAGGCUGUGUGUUCUGGGCUGUGUGUGUACCUGGUAGGGUGGAGGGGAGGAGACAGCAGGUAUAACAGGCUGUGUGUUCUGGGCUGUGUGUGUACCUGGUAGGGUGGAGGUGAGGACACAGCAGG